rnacentral:snRNA from 1 species
GUGUUUUGUUUCAGCAGUACAUAUACUAAAAUUGAAACAAUACAGAGAAAAUUAGUGUGGUCCCUGUGCCCACAUGCGAAUUUGUGAAUCAUUCAUUAUUUGG